rnacentral:rRNA from 1 species
GGAGUUAGCCGGUGCUUCUUCUGUGAGUGAUGUCCUUCCUGCCGGCUAUUAACCCGCAGGCCUUCUUCCUCACUGAAAGUGAUUUACAACCCGAAGGCCUUCUUCACACACGCGGCAUGGCUGGAUCAGGGUUGCCCCCAUUGUCCAAUAUUCCCCACUGCUGCAUCCCGUAGGAGUCUGGGCCGUGUCUCAGUCCCAGUGUGGCUGAUCAUCCUCUCAGACCAGCUACGGAUCGUCGCCUUGGUGAGCCGUUACCUCACCAACCAGCUAAUCCGACAUAGGCUCAUCCGAUAGCGCGAGGCCCGAAGGUCCCCCGCUUUCCCCCGUAGGGCGUAUGCGGUAUUAGCCUGGGUUUCCCCAGGUUAUCCCCCACUACCGGGCAGAUUCCUAUGCAUUACUCACCCGUCCGCCGCUCGCCACCAGGGAGCAAGCUCCCCGUGCUGCCGCUCGACUUGCAUGUGUUAGGCCUGCCGCCAGCGUUCAAUCUGAACCAAGAUCAAAUUCUGA